rnacentral:rRNA from 1 species
UACGUAGGGUGCGAGCGUUGUCCGGAAUUAUUGGGCGUAAAGAGCUCGUAGGCGGUUUGUUGCGUCGGCUGUGAAAUCCCGAGGCUCAACCUCGGGUCUGCAGUCGAUACGAGCAAACUAGAGUGUUGCAGGGGAGACUGGAAUUCCUGGUGUAGCGGUGAAAUGCGCAGAUAUCAGGAGGAGCACCGGUGGCGAAGGCGGGACUCUGGGCCGAUACUGACGCUGAGGAGCGAAAGCGUGGGGAGCAAACAGG